GCCCUCGUGGCUAAAUGGUUAAGCCCAAGGUUGGUAACCUAAAGGUUGGUGGUUUGAACCCACCCAGUGGCU
rnacentral:tRNA from 1 species